rnacentral:lncRNA from 1 species
CUGAGACCUGCCCGGGGUGGCAAGAGUCCCGCCUCCAGCAGGUGACAACUAGCCUAGUGUGUGAUGGGAUUCCCCUUCCAUGUGACACUGGGGGAGAGGAACCCCACUCCUAACAGUGGGAACAUCUACGGAGACCCCUGCUCUGAGCCGGAGUUCCCGCCAGGAGGUGGAAUGUAGGGGAGAGAAUCCCUGUCUAGUAGCAAAGCGAUCGGGACAGGAAUCGUUCUGGGCAGCGAGCUCGUUCCCACUCCCUUCUUCUGCCACCCCCACCCUCAUUCCCGUAACUCCCUCCUUUUCUUUCGGUAUCUCACCCCUCCUCUCUCCUUUGUUCCUCGUCGCCCCAACCCCGCGCACACCUGCUAGUGCUGGGGACUGUCUUCUCCUCCUCAUCCAGCAAGCUCACUUACUCGCAGGCGGAAGAACUGACGGAGGUGGACAUUCUUGGGCCAGUCUCAGCACUCUGCUUCCCUCCAGGACUAGGCACUUGCCCAGCCCAGCCCUCAAUGCAGGAGCUUGUCCUGGGACAGGCAGAGAAAGGAUCAGGAACAGAGAGAAGCCCUCAGAGGAACAGGAAAGGAGGCUGCACUGGGGCAGAAGAGACAGCUGGGAAGGACUGGGAAGAAAGCCCUUGGGGCAUGGCUGAGCUGCUACAAAGGGAGAGUCCCAAAGUUCAGGAUUGUGAACUGCAUGUAAUGUGAAGCACUGGGGUGGCCAGGAGCCGAGUAUGCAGCAGGAAUUGUUCAUCAGCACAUCAUACCAAAGCUUGAAGAUCACUCUUACAAGACACCACUCAAGUGAAUAAAGU